AUUGAACGCUGCGGCAUGCCUUACACAUGCAAGUCGAACGGCAGGCACGGGAGCAAUCCUGGUGGCGAGUGGCGAACGGGUGAGUAAUAUAUCGGAACGUGCCCAGUCGUGGGGGAUAACGUAGCGAAAGCUACGCUAAUACCGCAUACGAUCUAUGGAUGAAAGCGGGGGAUCGCAAGACCUCGCGCGAUUGGAGCGGCCGAUAUCAGAUUAGGUAGUUGGUGAGGUAAAGGCUCACCAAGCCGACGAUCUGUAGCUGGUCUGAGAGGACGACCAGCCACACUGGGACUGAGACACGGCCCAGACUCCUACGGGAGGCAGCAGUGGGGAAUUUUGGACAAUGGGCGCAAGCCUGAUCCAGCAAUGCCGCGUGCAGGAUGAAGGCCUUCGGGUUGUAAACUGCUUUUGUACGGAACGAAACGGUGAGCUCUAAUACAGUUUGCUAAUGACGGCACCGUAAGAAUAAGCACCGGCUAACUACGUG
rnacentral:rRNA from 1 species